UCCGAGCCACUCAGAGCGCCGGGCGGCCGACACCCGCGGCCUGCAAUUAAUACCCGGCGCCCGUCCUCCCCGGGACUCGCGCGCCGGCUCUCGGGGAAGGCGGCGCCCGCUCCGCCACCAGCUCUGCCCGGGCAGCUCGGCGACUGGGGGCCGGGCCGACGACGCUCCUGGCCCCCACCCGAGAGCCGGCCGGAGCGGGGGACGGUGCCGGCCCCCGAGGUCCCACGCGAGGGUGCGCUGCGGCCCGCGCCGUCGCGGCCGAGGGAACGGCAGGUGGGCUCGGCGGGAGCGCGCGGGAAGAUUCUACCUAUAUUGGAGAUCAGUUGUUUCCCAUGAAGACAUGGUGAAUUCUCUUUUGAGUUUCGACUAACAGAAUAAAAGUUGCUGUGAUGGUGAGCAUCUUGCAGCGGCUGGCGUGCCCGGGACCGGAAGCCAUCACGGGGAGAACGAGCUGCCUCUCUGUCUGCUGAUGCCCGCGCUUCCUCCAGCGUCCGUCUGCUGAGCACGGGGCUCCUGCCUGCGAAACACUGACGACACACAAGAGAAGAGUCCUGCUUGUGAAAACCCACAGCCCAGUUCUAGAGGAAAAUGCACAGAUGUGAAAUACAGGUGUUUCUUGAUUGAAAGAGAGCAUUCAGGUGGAUGACCUCGAGCACUGAGAAGCUGAGCCGUGAUGACUGUGGGGUCAUUCCACAUCUGAAGCCAUGAUUUGAGUAUCAGCAUCA